rnacentral:rRNA from 1 species
CGGGCGAGGCGUCGGUCUAAGUCCCUUGGAACGGGGCGUCAGAGAGGGUGAGAAUCCCGUACGCGACCGGUGACCGAGUCCAUGUGAAACCCCUUCGACGAGUCGAGUUGUUUGGGAAUGCAGCUCAAAAUGGGUGGUAAAUUCCAUCUAAAGCUAAAUACCGGCCAGAGACCGAUAGCGCACAAGUAGAGUGAUCGAAAGAUGAAAAGCACUUUGGAAAGAGAGUCAAAAAGUACGUGAAAUUGUUGAAAGGGAAGCGCUUGCGACCAGACCUGCCCGCGGGCGAUCAACCGUCCUUCUGGGCGGCGUACUCGCCCGCGAUCAGGCCAGCAUCGGUUCGGGCGGUCGGAUAAAGGCCUUGGGAACGUAGCACUUCGGUGUGGGUGUUAUAGCCCUCGGUGCAAUGCGACCCGCCCGGACCGAGGACCGCGCUUCGGCUAGGAUGCUGGCGUAAUGGUUGUCAGCGGCCCGUCUUGAAACACGGACCAAGGAGUCUAACAUCUAUGCGAGUGUUUGGGUGUCAAACCCAUGCGCGCAAUGAAAGUGAACGGAGGUGGGAACCCUUCGCGGGGCGCACCAUCGACCGAUCCAGAUGUCUUCGGAUGGAUUUGAGUACGAGCAUAGCUGUUGGGACCCGAAAGAUGGUGAACUAUGCCUAAAUAGGGUGAAGCCAGAGGAAACUCUGGUGGAGGCUCGCAGCGGUUCUGACGUGCAA